rnacentral:lncRNA from 10 species
CAACAGUUCACACUCCUCAGACACCAAAGAAGGAAGGAAGUGUGUCCUCUGGUUACUCCUCUUGCAGUUUGGAUGCCCUUUCUUUCUGUUGCUCGAUUGCUCUGGCUAGGACUAGUAUUAUGUAAGUGUUCCAUUCAUUAAUUUGCUGAACUGUAGUGGGAAGACAACCCUUCCCCAAACUCCGUUCACUCCAUACCUAAACGGACCAAGCACAUGCUUAGGGCACUAAUGAAACAGGAACACCAAGAUAAUGAGUAAACUUCAGCUUUUGGUGAACUUGGAAUUUUAUAAUCAGAGAUAAUCUAGAAAUAAGCCUUUCUAACUUCAGCAUACAUUAAUAUUUUGGCUUCCCCAGGCCCACUUGCAUCAUGUACUUCUUUCUCAGAUAAACACUCGAGGGACCUGAUGAGACUGAAAACAUCAAACACAGCCUCUGGGACAAGGAAAGUCUUUAAGAACUUUAGGGGUAUAUUAUUCUCAUACUCAAACACAUCUGCAGACCACCAAAGAUACUUCUCCUCGCAUCACUGUGAUCCUCUGGGCACAUCAGUCACAAAGAACCAGAACAAAAGUAAAACCAAACACCCACCACAAACCUAGCAGUAAAAUUCUCAGGUCCUUCCACUCAGGACACUAGAGAGGGCUUCCGAGCUAAGGACAAACCUACAUUCACUGAUGAAGGCACAGUGUUUAUGGCGGGAUUGCCAUGGCCACCGCAGAGGAAACCCAUUUUCCCUUUCAUGCACUGAAGGUAAGGGCAGUCAGUUUCAGUUAUGCAUUUGCUAGCUCCCUAUUCACCAAAGAUAGUUCUAUUUCUAAGGCUCUGAUAUUUAUUUCCAAAGAUUAACACAAUUAGAAGUACUUGCUGAUGGGAAGACCUGGUUGCCCACGAUAGGAAGGAAGAGGCUGCUACUGAAAGAAGACAUGGUUCCUGGGUUAAAGGUCUGGGCUGUAGUACUCUCUUCCUGUUGCUGACAGCAGGCUACUUGGAAUGUGGUGCUUCCUGUGUCUUGAACUUGCCUGGUUCAAGUCUGGACUGCUACUUUUAGUAGCAUCUGCAACUUACAAGCUUUAUAAAUAAGUGACUUAAUUUUUAAAAAUUCAAAUAUUUGGCAACUGAAACAGCUUGACUUUUCUGUCUGCCUACUUAAUUAAGCAUGUUAUCAAUGAAGAGCUUUUCUUUAAAUCCUCAGAGAUGGUAUAGUUAACAUAGAACAGUAGUCACUAUAUCUUAAGUUUAAAAAGUAAAAUGAAGAAGUCUUUAUCUGAGGGUUAUUUUCAACAAUCUAUAAAGGAGGGGAUUGUUUUAGGCAGUUAAUGAAGGCACUGAGGCAAAGAAAGGAGGGAGGAAUCAAUUCAAGUUCAGUACCCAGACCAACAAGGGGCUCUGCGGUAUUUUCUGACAGAAAGUCAGCUUGGUACCAUUAUAACUUCAUAAAAAGAUGUUCACAAAUAAGAAAACAAACUCAGAGAAAGUCUGCAGUAUUCAUCACAUAAAGAGAAAAAAAGUCCUUUAAAAAUCCAAGCCAUUAGAAGACACUUUCUGUGGAAAAUGUUUUAAAAACUGAAAAUGACUAGAUAAAGAACUAUUGGAGAAACACUUUUUCAAGAGGUUUGGCCACCCCUAAAUCACUGACUUUAUGGAAUAUUUAAUGGAAUAUAGUGCCCUAGAGCAUGGAGGUUACUCAUGAACACCUAUGCUCAGCAUAUGCUAUAAUUGUCCACCUAACGGGAAAUGCAAGGGGUUGCAAGGCUGGGAGCAACAGAGGGUCCUGGAACCUCAAAGUCCUGAGCCACAGGAAAGCUUCUCAUGGCUUCACCGUUUCCCUGAGCUGACUGCUUUAUUCCUCCCAAGUGUAACAGGCAAGGGGCGUGUCCUUCUCUAGUGUGUUCAUGCGGUUCAUGCUUUGUGAUUUCUAUAGCCAUGAAGAACCCCGACCCAAACUGCCAGGAAGACCUGCUUGAAACCUAACGCACUUAGACAUAUGGGACUAACCCUGAAAAUAAAAACAUCUUUAUGCUAAGAGGAAAGGAGUUUUUUUAAAUUAAAAAAAAUGUUUCUAGGUAUAUCAGCUUUCCUUUGGGGCUUGCUUUCAGAAUUCAGCAGCAGCUCAGGUUUACUGGGAGCAUGGAGCAUUCCGCUUGCAGAGAAGGGCUGGGUUAUGGGAACUCAGGAUUUGUGCAACAGCCUCACCACACGUGAAGGAAAACCUCUAGAGGAAUCACCAGCUACUCACGUUUCAAGAUAUUUCUUCUCUCCAGCUCUUCCACGGCAGGUCUUUGGCUCAGCCGUCUGCGGAAAAACACUAAAAUUACAUUUUGCACCAUAGUGG